rfam:Triticum aestivum genome assembly, contig: Triticum_aestivum_CS42_TGACv1_scaffold_168531_2DL
CAAGUACUCCCUCCGUUUGGAAUUACUUGUCAUCAAAAUGGAUGUGUCUAGAACUAAAAUACAUCUAGAUACAUCCAUUUCAAUGACAAGUAUUUUCGGACGGAGGGAGUACAAG